AAUAGAGAUCCCGUACAGUAACAGUCUUGUUCAGAUUCAGAAUUAUGGAACUGAUAUACAGUUUUCAAGUCGUAGACGUAUUCUGACUUUGACUUGGAACAAAGAUGAUGCAUUAUGGCUGAAUCUUCUGAAAGAUUAUCCAACACGUGGGAUUUGUGGGAACAAGAAUGCUUCUUCAGACGUUGAAAUCAAUGAACUGAUUGCCAGGAGCACACUUAGUGACCAGGGAAUAUAUUGUACUACUCCAGUUCAGCUUAAUGCAUCAUGUGAUAUUGAUAA